UUAUUUUUCUUUUAUGUUAUAUGUGCAUUGCAUUCACCAAGGUGCUACUAAUCUGAUUGUUAUCAUUUCUGUACCUAGGAGGAAAGAGCAAUCACAGCAGAAGGAAAAUAAAUUCUCUGGAGAAUCUGACUCCAUCAAAUCCUAAAACUGAAGCCUGAUAACCUGAGGUGGAGCAUUUUUGCAUUAUGAUAGCGUAGGAGGAGCGGGAAGGCUGAAAACACUGAUCCCAUCCUCCUGAUGUGGAGCCAUCGGCCAGCUUCAGCAUUCAAAGCCUUUUAAAAAGAUGUUUGUGUUACAAACCACGACUGUGUUUAAAUAAAAUGCCUUUGUCUACCUUUUUUAUUUGUUGAAUAUGCAGACCUUUCCCCCCUUG
rnacentral:lncRNA from 1 species